GAGGUAUUGUCCCUUCAAAAGUUAUGACAACAUCAGCAUUUGCUUCAAUACAGCUAAAAGUUGUACUAGCAUAACAAUUAAAAUUUUAAUGAAAGAAAAAUCAUUGGAAGCGUUCAAAAGAGAAAAUCACAGUCCACUUGAACAAAAAUAUGCAGAAAUAGCAUUACUUCAUGAAUAAAGUAGGCAAAUGAUGUAUAAUCUUUCAACAAACCAAUAAGGUGCAUAGUCUAAAUUUAUGGAAAUGGAA
rnacentral:misc_RNA from 1 species